GGGGCUGGAUGGUGGAUGAUCACUGUAAGUUACAUCCAGGGAAGCAACAUCUGAACAGAAUUCUCAAUAAAAUGGGAGGGAGCCAUCCACCCAGCUGGGGGAUGAGCCUUCUAGAAAGAGGGAGUAGCACUCACACAAAACUUGAAGAGAGAACAAGAAUGAGAUACUCGCAGAGUACAAAGGCAAGAGCUCUUAGGGAAGAUGGAUAAGGGGCUGGAGGGGCUAGAGUUGGCAGUGGCAUAACACAGGGGUCUGAACACACUGGGGACAACCCUGGCCUGCAGGGGAGCCUGAAUUCUAUUCUGCCUGAGAUGGGAAGCCAAAGGAGUUUGAACCAACAUGUUCCAUGAACUGUUUCACAUUUCUAAAGAAAUAUCACUCUGCUGUUUGGAGACCAGAUUGUAAAGGAGAAAAGUUAAAAACAAGAACAGAAUCUGAUAAUCAAGGAAAGAAACUCAGCAUUUAAAGGCCCCUGUGGCCUGGGGCUCUUUGUCUAAGGGCUGGUGUGUGGAGUAGCAAUCAAAACAGAUCUGGAGCUUCUCCCCUGAGCUGAGAUGCUGGCGCUACCAUGAGACUUUGAGAAUGCAUUUCAACCUAUCUGUGCCUCAGUUCCCUUAUCUAUGAAAAAUGAAUAAUAAAUGUCACCCACUUCAAGGGUUGUUGGAAAAACAUAUGAGAAAAUAUAGGUAAACCACUGAUCACAAUCUAGAGCACACGAUAAGAACCAUAGAAAGGUUUGCUAUCAUUACUCUCUUUAUCGAGGCUAAAGGUUUGCAGUUUCUCUUUUCAGACUGAUUAUAAGAUUUUGGAAAGAAGUACCCAUGUCUUUUUCUCCUGCUAGUUUUCAUAGAGCCAAAAAGAGAUUGCAAGAGUUAGGCCUUCAGUAUGUAGAUAUCUGUUGAAUCAAAUGACCCUAACCUCAAAACAAAACAUGUAUAUUGCUGAAGGACCAUGGGAAUCAGGAAAAGUUACCCUCAUUUUUUUCCUCUCUGGUUAUUCAUUUUUUUAAUAAACUAACAAGCUCCUUGCUCCAGGGUAUACAUAAAACAAGCAAUUUAGGAAUUUUCUGUGAUCAAACAGCACGCCUUCUCUUCACUCUGUAUUCCUAUGGUAGGAACUCGGUAAAUAUUUGUGCUUCUGAUGACAAUGCCUAUAGCAACAGGAUUUAGAAUGCCUGGCACUUGGUGUCAAGAGUCCCAAACCAGGAUAAUGGAAAACGAUUUCUCUACUGCCAGUGCACAUCUAACAGGAGACCUUGUUUCUUCUGAAAAGCCCAGUGUAGGCACCACUGGGAACUCUUUUAACAGAAUCAAUUAAAGACGUUUUGAUUUCUGCUCUUUGGCAGAUACUACCCUCCUGCUAAAACACAGUUGUCUCUCUAGUUUCUGUUUUGAAUUUCCUUUGGCAACAGAAGAUAGAAAGAUUAGCUAUGAGUCUUCAUGGGUGGUCAAGUUAACACUCUGGCCUCCAUCCCAAGCUUAAAGGAAAUAAUCGACUGAUGAUUUUAGCCCACUCCUUUCUAGGAAGCUGCCUUUUGUCUAAAGUUGAAGUCCACAAGUUGAAUGACUGAUCUGAUACCAUAAAAAUGGCAUGAAGGUGGUUGAUUUUUGCAGAUACAUCCGCACACCCACUCUUUCAUUUACUGUUCUUUCUGUGUAUGACACAAUGAUAAUAAUCAGUGUCCAUUAAAAGAUUCAAGUUAAGCAUUAAUAAUCCACCAAACUCCAUGCGCCUUAAUGGUUCACAGAGCACUGGAGAUUUUUGUCACUUUUUUCCCUCAUGAGUUGGGAUUUCAUACCUAAGAAAUUAUAUCACCCUAUUGAUUCUAGUGAUCCAAGGGUGAUAAAUGUCACAGCCAGAUCAUCUUUGCAGCCAGUCCUACCCAUCCUGAUUUGUCAAAAGAGAAACACUUAUUUGGCCCCGAAGAGUUCCCUUUUCUGCUUCCUCUUUUGAAACUGUUUUAAAGGAAGAUGAAGUCAAUCCCUAAAAAUAAAUACUUUUGUCUGAUCAUAUGAAACCUUUCUUCAUUUAAUAUAAAGUGGAAGAGAGGGGGAAAAAAAGCAUGGGACACCAAAAAUAAAAGUAAUAAGGAAACCUCAGUUUAUCCUAGAGUUUCAAGAUUGUUUUAGCAGAGCUACCCAGACAUAAUAGAAAGUUCCAAUUACAGUAAAAUAGCCAAGAUGAUAGUAUCCAAAAGAUAUGUCAUCAAUCUAAAUUGUGAAGCAUUUACAUUCCUUAAAAUUUUUUCAUUUUUAAAAAUAUAUGCACUCAGCUUCCACUUUGCUACAGACCCUGCCACCUUCUAAAUUAGCUCUAAACAAGGGGCAAAAGUCACACAUGUAAGCAAAACCUAGCUUCCUUCCAUAAACAAAACCUCAAUUCUUUCUCUAGCUAGCAGAUUUCCCACUUUCCAUCACCUACUCAAACACCCUAAAGCCAUCCACUCCUGAUGACUGCCAUCCUGACAGCCUCAUUCGUAUUCUUUGCCAAGUACACAGAACCCCUGAGGGUUAGGGACGAUGUGAUUCUCUAGAUCCUCAGGGGAGGUGCACAAAUAUAAAGUUCUUGAUUUCAAGUGUUCUGGAAUGAGAGGUGGUAAAACUCAGUGUGGAAGAGUGGGAAGGGAGAUGUUUACAGAGAGAAGUGGCCCUAGACAGUAUCUGUAGUCUGAUCCACCCAUGGAAUUGGUUUUCCAUCAUUGAUCAAGGACACAAUGGACCUACCGGUAGGUAAUGAUCCCUGGAUGAAACGUACCUUUUGUUUUGAAUCGAUAAUGACUGAGGAACAUCUGCAUGUUCGGUAUCAUCCAGAUGAGGUAGGGGGUAAAGAAAAAUGAAAGACAGGGUCUUAAGCUUCCGCACCUGGCAUAAAGAACAUCAGCACAGGAAGCAACAAGGACAAGGAAGAGAGGAUGACCAAGUGCUGGAAACUUCAUGGUCCAGAGGGCUUCCUUAGGGCAGUUCCUUGAGCCUCACCUGAGAGGUUGAGACCAAGAUGAGCCCCAGGAGAGAAAUAGGAUGCACCUGUGGAUUUGUAGAGUAGCUGGUAUGGUUAGCAGUCCUUGGAGGCUCAUGGGAGCUGCACAGACAAAAAAAAAAAGAUGCUUUGGGGGUCCUUUUCCAAAGAAAACACAACAGCAAGAGAUGAUUACAUGGCUUAAAUGGAGAACUAACAAGUCAAAACCCUGAGUGAUAAUUCCAAAACUGCCAUUAUGUCACCAUUUGGUAUGAUUCAAAUUAUUGCUCCCAAGUCAGUUUUACCCUCUGUUUCCUCAUCUGCUAAAUCAGGAUAACCUCUGGGUGCCUGGCAAAGCAUAGCUAAUAAACAUUUAUUUGCAAAGACUCACGGAAGGUGUUAUAUGACUGUUAUCAUAGCAACAAGGACCAAAAUGCUUUGCCUGUGGCGGUUUGAGUUAAAAGGAGAUCUGAAAAUAAAAAAAAAAAAAAUAGGAGUUCCCACUGUGGCGUGGUGGGUUAAGGAUCUGGCCUUGUUGCAGCCGUUGUGUAGAUCAUAGCUGCAGCUCAGAUUCUGUCCCUGGCCUGGGAACUUCUGUACUCUGUGG
rnacentral:lncRNA from 1 species